AUUGAACGCUGGCGGCAUGCCUUACACAUGCAAGUCGAACGGUAACGGGCCUUCGGGUGCCGACGAGUGGCGAACGGGUGAGUAAUGUAUCGGAACGUACCUUUCAGUGGGGGAUAACGUAGCGAAAGUUACGCUAAUACCGCAUAUUCUGUGAGCAGGAAAGCAGGGGAUCGCAAGACCUUGCGCUGAUUGAGCGGCCGAUAUCAGAUUAGCUAGUUGGUGAGGUAAAGGCUCACCAAGGCGACGAUCUGUAGCGGGUCUGAGAGGAUGAUCCGCCACACUGGAACUGAGACACGGUCCAGACUCCUACGGGAGGCAGCAGUGGGGAAUUUUGGACAAUGGGGGCAACCCUGAUCCAGCCAUGCCGCGUGAGUGAAGAAGGCCUUCGGGUUGUAAAGCUCUUUCGGCCGGGAAGAAAUCGUAUCAGCUAAUACCUGGUGCGGAUGACGGUACCGGCAUAAGAAGCACCGGCUAACUACGUGCCAGCAGCCGCGGUAAAAC
rnacentral:rRNA from 1 species